CAGUACAUACUGCUGUGACCUGGUUGGAAUCUCAGUUCAUAUUUAACUAAUAAUAGAGAUGUAUGAAGUUUUUGCAGAUUUCCUUACACAGAUUUCCUUUCCUUACUAUAUUUACUCUUUUCAAGAGAUCUGUAUGGUCUUCAGGUUUUACCCUGCUAAGUAAGAAGUGUUGGUUUUUUGUGGGAAAAUGAGUUGUUUUAAUGCAUCUGCCUUAGAUUUGCUUGCAACUAGCCUAAGGUGGUAAUAGAGGUAAAAGCACUGGCUGCUGCAGACACUGCAAAACGGAACAAAGUACAUUAGGGAAAACAAACUCUGCCAACCCAGAGCAAUAGGGCCACAAAAUGGGAAGAGGAGAUCAUUCCAGCAUGACACAUUUGUCUGCAAAUAAACUCUCAGCUGAAGGCAGUGGGAGGGGAAUGAGAAGGGACAGGAUCAGAGAGGAGGAGAGACUCUUCCAGAGGCCAUAUUCCUGAGGCCAAGGCUGUGUUUUCAUCUCCCAAGAGCUCUGGAAAUAAAGAUGGAUGGGAGAGACAGCGACAGAGCCAAUGGCCUGCAAUCUGCAUCCUCCAAGAAGGUGAACUGUUGAGCACUGUAGAAGAUAGGAUUUUGGUUCAUUAUUAAUUUGGUUCUGGAAAAAAAUGCUUGUUAAGUAAUCCUGUAGACAGAAGUUUUUUUCUUAUCCACAGGUAAGAUUCAAUAAGGGAGAGAUGCUGCACAACCCACACAGGAAUGCUGUCCUACCUAGACAGGCCAGAAAUAAAUGGCUGGUAACAGGAGAGUCAAGGGUAUGCAACUAAAAGAAAGCACAGAGGCUGAAAAAGACCCCGAAUACAGUUUUUUCCCUAUCUCAAGGCAAGAAUCACCUCGUCUCACUCCUAGUCCUGGGAGCAUGGCUGCUGCUAUAACAUUGCUUUUUUCACCUCCUACCACCACUGUGCCUGAUAUCUCUGCAUUCCCACCAUCUGGCCUGAAACUUACUUGAUUCCAGGAGGCGCUCCAGCUCUUCAGGGGAAACAAACUUCUCCCACU